rnacentral:misc_RNA from 1 species
GAUGAAGAACGCAGCGAAAUGCGAUACGUAAUGUGAAUUGCAAAUUCAGUGAAUCAUCGAGUCUUUGAACGCACAUUGCGCCCCCUGGUAUUCCGGGGGGCAUGCCUGUCCGAGCGUCAUUGCUGCCCUCAAGCACGGCUUGUGUGUUGGGCCCCGUCCUCCGAUCCCGGGGGACGGGCCCGAAAGGCAGCGGCGGCACCGCGUCCGGUCCUCGAGCGUAUGGGGCUUUGUCACCCGCUCUGUAGGCCCGGCCGGCGCUUGCCGAUCAACCCAAAUUUUUAUCCAGGUUGACCUCGGAUCAGGUAGGGAUACCCGCUGAACUUAAGCAUAUCAAAGCGGAGGA